AGAUUGAACGCUGGCGGCAUGCCUUACACAUGCAAGUCGAACGGUAACAGGUCUUCGGAUGCUGACGAGUGGCGAACGGGUGAGUAAUACAUCGGAACGUGCCCGAUCGUGGGGGAUAACGGAGCGAAAGCUUUGCUAAUACCGCAUACGAUCUACGGAUGAAAGCAGGGGACCNNAAGGCCUUGCGCGGACGGAGCGGCCGAUGGNAGAUUAGGUAGUUGGUGGGAUAAAAGCUUACCAAGCCGACGAUCUG
rnacentral:rRNA from 1 species